rnacentral:lncRNA from 10 species
GCUCCUCUGCAUGGAACCAGGUGGGGAGAGAGCGAACCUCAAAGUCAUGCAAAGGGCUUCUUAGCCUGGCUUGACCACUUUGGAACAGGCUGUCUGUGGGCAAAGGAUUCAACCUCACUGAACCUCAAUUUUCUCAAAUGCAAAAAGGGUUUUAAGUGCUGGCUGUUGUUCAAUGGAAGAGGAAAUCAUUUGAACAAGAAUCGCAUCAAGUUGUGUUGUGAUAAAUUUUCUUUAUUAGGAUGAAUAACAUGCACAGAUGAGCUUCAAAAGUGAAUGAGCAAACUUACUGGUUACACUCUGCAUCCAUUUACUCUGUUUAGUAUGGAGUAAUGUUAGGCAAUAAAUGAUGCUGGCAAAU